rnacentral:rRNA from 1 species
GUCUCAGGCCGGAUCAGCCUGAAGGCGCCUGAUCUCGUCUGAUCGCGGAAGCUAAGCAGGGUCGGGCCUGGUUAGUAUCUUGGAUGGGAGACCACCUGGGAAUCCCGGGUGCUCGAGGCU